UUUGAUCCUGGCUCAGGAUGAACGCUGGCGGCGUGCUUAACACAUGCAAGUCGAACGAGGUCCAGCCUUCGGGUGAAGACCGAGUGGCGAACGGGUGAGUAACACGUGGGCAAUCUGCCCUCCACACUGGGAUAACUCAGGGAAACUUGAGCUAAUACCGGAUACUUCGGAAUGGUCGCAUGGCCGAUCCGAGAAAGCUCCGGCGGUGGAGGAUGAGCCCGCGGCCCAUUAGCUUGUUGGCGGGGUAAUGGCCCACCAAGGCAACGAUGGGUAGCCGAGCUGAGAGGCUGAUCGGCCACACUGGGACUGAGACACGGCCCAGACUCCUACGGGAGGCAGCAGUGGGGAAUCUUGCGCAAUGGGCGAAAGCCUGACGCAGCAACGCCGCGUGCGGGAUGAAGGCUCUCGGGUCGUAAACCGCUUUCAGUAGGGACGAAACUGACUGUACCUACAGAAGAAGCCCCGGCUAAAUACGUGCCAGCAGCCGCGGUAAUUCA
rnacentral:rRNA from 1 species